rnacentral:tRNA from 1 species
GCACCUAGUUUACACCUAGAAGAUUUCACUUAAACUGACCACUUUGA